UCUGGCUCAGGAUGAACGCUGGCGGCGUGCUUAACACAUGCAAGUCGAACGGAGUUGUGAUGUGAGCGAGAGGUAGCUUGCUAUUAAUCAAUCUUUCAUAACUUAGUGGCGGACGGGUGAGUAACGCGUGGGUAACCUGCCCUGUACAGGGGGAUAACAGUUGGAAACGACUGCUAACACCGCAUAACAUCGCGAGGGCGCAUGACCUUGCGAUCAAAUAUUUAUAGGUACAGGAUGGGCCCGCGUCUGAUUAGCUAGUUGGCGAGGUAACGGCCCACCAAGGCGACGAUCAGUAGCCGUACUGAGAGGUAGAACGGCCACAUUGGGGACUGAGACACGGCCCAAACUCCUACGGGAGGCAGCAGUGGGGAAUAUUGGUCAAUGGGGGAAACCCUGAAACCCAGCGACGCCGCGUGAGUGAAGAAGUAUUUCGGUAUGUAAAGCUCUAUCAGCAGGGACGAUGAUGACGGUACCUGACUAAGAAGCCCCGGCUAACUACGUGCCAGCCGCCGC
rnacentral:rRNA from 1 species